GGGACCCGUCUUGAAACACGGACCAAGGAGUCUAGCAUGUGCGCGAGUCAUUGGGACUCUUACGAAACCUAAAGGCGCAAUGAAAGUGAAGGUCCGCCUUGCGCGGACCGAGGGAGGACGGCCGGUCCCGAGGGACCGACCUGCACUCCCGGGGCGUCUCGUUCUCAUAGCGAGAAGAGGCGCACCCAGAGCGUACACGCUGGGACCCGAAAGAUGGUGAACUAUGCCUGGUCAGGACGAAGUCAGGGGAAACCCUGAUGGAGGUCCGUAGCGAUUCUGACGUGCAAAUCGAUCGUCGGAACUGGGUAUAGGGGCGAAAGACUAAUCGAACCAUCUAGUAGCUGGUUCCCUCCGAAGUUUCCCUCAGGAUAGCUGGCGCUCGCUUCUCGCGAGUCUCAUUCGGUAAAGCGAAUGAUUAGAGGCAUUGGGGUCGAAACGGCCUCAACCUAUUCUCAAACUUUAAAUGGGUGAGAUCUCCGGCUUGCUUGAACUGUGAAGCCGCGAGAUAUCGGAUCAGAGUGCCAAGUGGGCCACUUUUGGUAAGCAGAACUGGCGCUGUGGGAUGAACCAAACGCCGAGUUAAAGCGCCUAAAUCGACGCUUAUGGGAUACCAUGAAAGGCGUUGGUAACUUAAGACAGCAGGACGGUGGCCAUGGAAGUCGGAAUCCGCUAAGGAGUGUGUAAA
rnacentral:rRNA from 1 species